rnacentral:rRNA from 1 species
AACCCGGCGUCCUCCCUUUUGNCCUACACUGCGUGAGCGGAACGAAAACAACAACACCUAAAAUGUGGAAUAUAGCAUAUAGUCGAAAGAGAAAUCUACGAAAAAACAAACAAAACUUUCAACAACGGAUCUCUUGGUUCUCGCAUCGAUGAAGAGCGCAGCGAAAUGCGAUACCUAGUGUGAAUUGCAGCCAUCGUGAAUCAUCGAGUUCUUGAACGCACAUUGCGCCCCUCGGCAUUCCGGGGGGCAUGCCUGUUUGAGCGUCGUUUCCAUCUUGCGCGUGCGCAGAGUUGGGGGAGCGGAGCGGACGACGUGUAAAGAGCGUCGGAGCUGCGACUCGCCUGAAAGGGAGCGAAGCUGGCCGAGCGAACUAGACUUUUUUUCAGGGACGCUUGGCGGCCGAGAGCGAGUGUUGCGAGACAACAAAAAGCUCGACCUCAAAUCAGGUAGGAAUACCCGCUGAACUUAAGCAUAUCAAUA